GUCUACAGCCAUGCCACCCUGAACGUGCCUAAUCUCGUCUGAUCACGGAAGCUGCUAAGCAGGGUUGGGCCUGGUUAGUACUUGGAUGGGAGACUGCCUAAGAAUAUCAGGUGCAGUAGGCG
rnacentral:rRNA from 1 species